CUGAACUAAGUAAAAACUUUUGGCCUUCCUUUGAAUACAGUUUCUUUCCUCAGAUGUAAAGAAAGGGUCAGGAGAAGCUGCUGACAGUCAUCCCAGGUGGGCCGGUGAGUCUGGAGCAUGAACUCAACCAGUGAUGUUAGAAUCUGACAUUUCUCAGAGAAAGCCCCUGGAAACCACCAUUCUACUUUCUAUUUCUAUGAGCAUGAUACUCUACAUAUCUCAUGUUAUACGGGAGCAGCAAGAAGAUACUUGUACGGGUGGGGUCUACCACAAUCUGAGCAGCUUCUGGUUUUGACCCUGCACUUGAUGGAUCGACUAGCAUCACCCUGAUCAAUUAACUGACUCAUCUGAUCUUGUGGCCCCAACACAGGAAAUGACUCAGCACAAGAAGACAGCAUCAAUUCCUUAAGAUUUCAUCUCCUACCUAACCAAUCAGCACUCCUGGUUCGCUGACUUCCCCUCACCCACCAAGUUGUCCUUAAAAACUCUGAUCCAAUGCUCAGUGAGACUGAUUUGAAUAACAAUAAAACUCUCAUC